GAUGAACGCUAGCGGCAGGCCUAAUACAUGCAAGUCGAACGGGAUCUGAGGGUAGCUUGCUACCCGAUUUGAGUGUGGCGCACGGGUGCGUAACGCGUGAGCAACCUACCCAUAUCAGGGGGAUAGCCCGAAGAAAUUCGGAUUAACACCGCAUAACAAUACGUUAACACAUGUUAAUGUAUUUAAAUAUUUAUAGGAUAUGGAUGGGCUCGCGUGACAUUAGCUAGUUGGUAAGGUAACGGCUUACCAAGGCGACGAUGUCUAGGGGCUCUGAGAGGAGAGUCCACAACACUGGAACGGAGACACGGACCAGACUCCUACGGGAGGCAGCAGCAAGGAAUAUUGGUCAAUGGGCGCAAGCCUGAACCAGCCAUGCCGCGUGCAGGAUGACUGCCCUAUGGGUUGUAAACUGCUUUUGUUAGGGAAUAAACCUACUUAUGUAUAAGCAGCUGAAUGUACCUAAAGAAUAAGGAUCGGCUAACUCCGUGCCAGCAGCCGCCGUAA
rnacentral:rRNA from 1 species